UGCAAAACAGACCAUAUUAUCAGCUAAUGUAAGAUUAAUUUCUCUCUUUCUCUUGGAAAAUUAGCCAAAGAAAUGUUAAAUUCUUGUCUGUGUAAUGUGAAUAGAGCAUUUCUCUUUGUACGAAGCAGGUGGACAUGGCUGCUUGUAUCCUUUUGUGCUGUAAUGUACCGGAAUACUCAAGAAAAACAGCAAUUCACGCAUCUUUGCUAUUAAAGAAAAUGCUGCAGAAAAUGUUGAUGUAACUAACUGUCCUACUAGAUUGUUAAUAAGUGGUCCUUGUACAAUAAAUGUAAGGUGAUAUUAAAUAAAAUGAAGAAGAAAUAA